UAUCCUCUUUCUUGAUUAAACAUUAGAGAAAAUUGGUGCCCCUGAAUUUGUAAGAGUUCCAGAUUAAAUAGAGACUGUUAACAACGACAAAUCGAACCUUCUAAGCAAAAAAGAAAUGAACAUAAUGUCCCAGUUGAUAUUAACUAUAUUUGGGUCGAUGCAUGACACACGGUAUCCCAAAAUAUAAUCACCACGUUAGACUCAGCUUACAUCACAAUUAACUACUCCUGCCCCCAAGAAAAAGUCUUCCUCGUAUGCUUGAGAUAUUUUAACAGAUAGUCUCACGCUAAUAUAUACUUCUCUUGUUAGGUACGGACUAAUUAAAUAAGCAUAAAGAACUUAAGUUGAUCGGGACAAGAGGAAAAUAUGAAAACUAGCUUGGCAUUAUCUCGACUAUCUAUCAUCUGAAUAGGACUGCACUAUGAAUUAAUUGGAUCACACCUGCUGCUAGUGAGGAGCUCCUUUUACCGUCUCCAUCUAACCUCUCUAGACUCUAGAGGUACUCCAUUUCAGAACUAACCAUGCAUUUGUACCUACCAAAAGGGCAAUAAGCAUCCCCAAAAAAAAAAACAGACUGCCUACUUGUCAAUGAAUCCAGUUCUGUCAUAUUAAUACGAUUCAGAUUGUAUUAAUUGUGAAGUAAUUUGUUAUGCAGGCGUACGUUGAAGAGCUAGAGAAAGAGGUUCGCCGGCUGGUGGAUGACAACUUGAAUCUCAAGAAGCAGUGCAAAGAGCUGAAACAGGAGGUUGCUGCACUGGUGAUGCCUACAAAGAGCUCACUGCGACGAACUUCAUCAACUCAAUUCUGAAGGUCGACCAAAACAAGCAAGAUUAUCUGACGAUACAAAAUCAUUAGAAAGAUCUAAAUUAUGUGUAUUUGCAAUCCGGUGUGCGUUUGUGCAGGGGUCAGGCAUGAGAGAGGAUAUUGUGUGUAGGUGAUCGAUGGAUGCUAUGAACUACCUCUGCAGUUAGAAAUGUGUUAGAUCUUGUCUCUGCAAAGAUGAACACCUUUUCUUACUUGUUCAACUCGAUCAGCAUGCAGUAUCCUGUUCAAUUUUUUUCCCCUUCAGCCAUUCAGAAAUUCAGAAGUGGCUAUCAUGCUUUAAUUUUGUUUCAA